GCCGGGAGCCCGGGACGGAUGCGAUGCAACUGGAGAUAGAUCAGGCCGCUCCAGGCCGGACCGCUCGCGCGUGGGCCUCGCGAAAGGCCCGUUCGCGCUGUAGCUUUGAAACCUCGGCUCCGGACGGGCCGGCGCGCUCGAGCGAGGUGACGGCCGGAUUCGCACGUCCCACCUCGAGCCAACCACCGAUCGAACCACAGGGGCUCGUGCCGUCUUCUGUCUUCUCCUCCGGCUUCCUCCGCCGCAUUUGGGUUCGUCAUCAGGCAUUCAGGCAGGAGAGGAGCCUUCAGUCUAGCAUCUUAUUUCCAUUGCGAUUUGGCAGGAGUUCACCGGGCGGAACUAGCCAGGCUAGGGACUACUACCAAGGAGGUACUGGAACAAGAAGAUGCUUGAUAACUACGCUUCGUAGAGGAAGAAACAAGUAUCCAGGAAGAAUGAAUGAGACCGGGGAAGCCCUUAGGUGCUGUGUGGAGCAGCUGCUGCUUGUUAGAGACGAGAAAGAGCGCCUUGUGAUUGAAGCAGCUAAUAAGAUCUCUUCGGAGCAGAAGAAAACACAGGAUUUGCAGCAGAAGUUUGAGGAUGCAAAUAAGCAGUUUGAGAAGGUCAUCGUUGAAAACUACAAUCUUCGUAACACUGUUGACUCAAAGGAGAAGUUGAUCAAAGAGCUGAAAGAAUCCAAAUCACAUUCAGACCAAAAGUUAACUGAUGCGACGGCAAGGCUUGAAUUCUCACAGAAACAAUGCACAUCCCUUAAGUAUGACGUGCGCAUGCUUCGUGAGGAACUUGAGAUUCGGAACAAAGAGCGGGAGUAUGACCUCAGAUCAAUCCAUGCUGCUGAGAAGCAGCAGCAGGAGAGCGUGAAGAAGAUAGCUGAACUAGAAGCAGAGUGCCAGAGGCUGCGGACCAUGGUUCAAAAGCGUCUGCCAGGUCCUACAGCGUUGGCGAAAAUGAAAGAUGAGGUCAAGCGACAAGGUGCUAGUUCUGCUGAGAAUGGAACAAGAAGGCCCCGCGGAGCAAUACAACCGCAGCUGCGGGCGAGCCAUUCAGUAUCUGAAGGUUACCAAGUCAAGCUGCAGGGAUUGGGAGAGGAAAACAGACAUCUGAGGCAGUUAUUGGCGCAGAAGGAGAGUGACCUGCAGUUUAUUCAGUCGAAGUACGUAGAUGAGGCAUGCAAGUUGUCAAUACUAGAGAGGCAGCACGAAGAGUUGUCUGGUGGUAGCCACGGUUUAACAGAGAAAAACCAUCCAGAAGGAAUGGUCAGUGCAUUAGUCAAGCUGGAUCACUCAAGAUCCGGGAAGCAACAGGUGUCUCAGAUUAGAAGUAGGGGCAGAAGAAUCACAGGAUCCGACAUUCAAUUGCUUGUUGAUCCUCUGGAAAUCAAGAAGAUAGAGAGGACUUCGAGACCUUCAAGUGCCCCACAUCAGUUUGAGGAUACACCUGAUACAGACUCAAAAAUGGUUGUUUCAGAAACAGUUCUCAGAGGUCUCAUCCCUGAUGAUGCUUUCUCUGACAAGUAUCCCGAGUGGAUUCAGGACGUUCUGAAUGUGAUCAUACAUAAGCAUCAAGUCAGCAAGAUAAGUGUUGCUAGCAUUAUCGAUGAAGUAACACAUGCACUGAGGAGUGAGAUUUCUGCCAAAGGAAAUGAUGUUGCACACUUAUCCUGUAACAGGGCAGAAAUAGACAAAAUGGUGGCCACUCUGAUAGAAAGAGUCAGUAGCAUGGUUGAAAGAUCUGCUAAAGACAAUGUUACGAGGUUCCGAUCAUUUCUUCAUGAGAAGUCUGAACUCACUUUGCGACUUGAGCACCUGGUUCAUGUCUGUCGUGCCGUAUUAGAUGGAACGGCUAAUCUUGAAAAGCUUACUGAUGAAGUUUGCUUGAUCCUAGAUUGGUUAGUGAGCCAAUGUUUUUUGUACCUUGAUGGACUAGACGUUGUGGACCACAUUACAAAUAAUUCUGAUGAAAAUGAAUCCCAGAGGACAUUAAGCAUUCAUGAAAAAUAUGCCUUGCAUAGUACAAAAUCAGAAAUGGCUUUUGGAAUGCAACAAGAGAAACAUCAAGAACUGAUUGAGACAACCAAAGGCCAGAUCCCUGAUGUAACCUUAGAAAAUCAUUCUCACAUUGAGUUCACCUCUAAUCUUGAUGAAGAAUUAUUGGCUGUUAGUCAAGUGCCGGGUGAUAGUUGUCAGGAACAGCACCCGGUAUACCGUGACACAGAAAGUGUUUCUUCUGACAGGAGCAAAGAAAAAAUAGCAGGAGAGGGAGGGAAACAAAAAACGACUUCAGCAAUAUCUGCAGCAGCCAAGAAGCUUGCGGAAUGCCAGGAAACAAUCGCUAACCUAAGCAAGCAGUUGCAUGCUUUAGAAAGCCCGGCAAGUGCAGAUGCAUCAGACAAAGAGAAGUGUGGUACCUUACUCUUGCCAGCUGCAAGCCUUCUUGCCGAAGCGGAUCCCAAGCCUGAUGAUCUCAGUCCUCCCACGUCUGAAGAAGCGGCACGCACAAAAGAACACAGCUGUGAGCCUGACGCAACUGAAAGGAGCCCAGAACAUGAAGAUCCUGCCACGGGCGCAAAGGCUCGUAAAAGUGGCUCUUCGACCCCGAUCGUUGCUCGCCCGAUGGUUCCGAAGUCACCCAGAGCAUCUGCUUCAGCUGACGCUAGAAAGAAGAAGCGGCGUGCGAGACUGCUGAGUAGGCUUGUCUUCAGAAAGAAAGCAUGAAACAGAUCCCUGACCGCUGUUCUGCAACUGCAAUGCUCCACUGGUUUGCAUUGGACCUCGAAAUUAAGCUAUCGUAUUGUCGACUUGUCGUCAGUACUUGGAAGCUCGUUCUUGCGUCAUAAGUUAUAUACUCGACCUGUUCUAAGUUAUUUCCAAUUCCAAUAAGAGCAAUGCUACCCUAGCCGUAUGAUGUUUGAUGUGUGUAAUUUAUUGGGCAUGCAUUUGGAUGUGAGCAAUACUGUACUGCAGAAAUUUGUUGGAAUCUGUUCGCUCCAGAAGUGUGUGUGUAAAACUGCAAAAUGGUUGCAGACCGCGGGUGCUGGUGAUACGCUUUCAGAUUUAUGGGAGGGUGCGGUCAGGAGGAUGACCGAUCGUUUCAGCAAGCGGUGUAUUGAUCUGCUCGCCGUCACGAUCUUGGCCACAAGUUCGCAACAGCUGCCAUGUGCCAAUGAGCAGCAGCACAUUGAUGGGAUCUGACUCAUCUGAUGAUUUACGCAGUUAAAGCCGGUCUUAAUUGAGUUUCA